rnacentral:lncRNA from 1 species
AUCCACCACUUCAUACAUGAAAAAAUUUGUUACUAUUUGGAAUCCACCUACACAAUGGUUGAACUGUUAGAACAAAUACCGCAACGAAAAUCUGAUUAUGAUUAAAAUCCAACUAAUUUGUAAUAAAGAUAAAUAAAUAAAUCAACUUACAGAUAAUCGCUAAAUCCAAAUAAAUACUUAAUUGAUCCGGAAGCGUGCGAGACACUGCCCUAAGGCGUAUUCCCGUCCUUACGUACGGGAUUAACCAGAAACAACACCCCAAGGUAUGACCGAAAUUUCUCCUGCUGCGAGCACGAUCGUGAAGGAGGUUGACGGAGACUCUUUCAACACCCGAUAAUAAAAUAACAACAAAAUAUAAACAAAUCUUCAAAUGAUUUAGCUUCAAACAGUA